GAUGAACGCUGGCGGCGUGCCUAAUACAUGCAAGUCGAGCGAACAGACGAGGAGCUUGCUCCUCUGACGUUAGCGGCGGACGGGUGAGUAACACGUGGAUAACCUACCUAUAAGACUGGGAUAACUUCGGGAAACCGGAGCUAAUACCGGAUAAUAUAUUGAACCGCAUGGUUCAAUAGUGAAAGACGGUUUUGCUGUCACUUCUAGAUGGAUCCGCGCCGCAUUAGCUAGUUGGUAAGGUAACGGCUUACCAAGGCGACGAUGCGUAGCCGACCUGAGAGGGUGAUCGGCCACACUGGAACUGAGACACGGUCCAGACUCCUACGGGAGGCAGCAGUAGGGAAUCUUCCGCAAGGGGCGAAAGCAUGACGGAGCAAAGCCGCGUGAGUGAUGAAGGUCUUCGGAUCGUGAAACUCUGUUAUUAGGGAAGAACAAAUGUGUAAGUAACUAUGCACGUCUUGACGGUACCGAAUAAAAAAGCCACGGCUAACUACGUG
rnacentral:rRNA from 1 species